rnacentral:rRNA from 1 species
GACGAACGCUGGCGGCGUGCUUAACACAUGCAAGUCGAACGGAAAGGCCCUGCUUUUGUUGGGUGGACGAGUGGCGAACGGGUGAGUAACACGUGAGUAACCUGCCCCUUUCUUUGGGAUAACUCCCGGAAACUGGGGCUAAUACCGGAUAUUAGCUCUUGCUCCGUUGUGGUGGUUGGUAAAUGACGGCGGUGGGGGAUGGACUCGCGGCUUCUGAGCUGCUUGGUGGGGUAGGGGCUGACCAAGGCUUCGACGGGUAGCCGGCCUGGGAGGGGGGCCGGGGACAUGGGGACUGCGAUACGGCGCAGAAUCGAACGGGAGGCAGCGGUGGAGAGCAUGGCACAAUGAGGCGGAGCCUGAGGCGGAGGCGUCGCGUGCGGGAUGAUGGCUUUCGGGUUGUAAACAGCUUUCGCAGGUGAUGUGGCGGGAGUGACGGUAAUGGGUAAAGAAGCACCGGCUAACUACGUG